AGCAGUGAGGAAUAUUGGUCAAUAGCCUAACCGGCUGAACCAGCAACUUGGAGGAAUGGAUGGGGAAAGCCGGUAAAAGGCAAUGUACCCAGUAGUAUUAGAAAUAAAUAUGAGAUUAACAAAGUUAAUUAAAGUUUGGAGUAGGUAAAUGAUUAUGACAAUAUCUGCUGAUGUCUUGACCAAGUCACGUGCCAGCAGUCGCGGUAAUACGUGGAAGAUAAGUGUUAUUCAUCUUUAAUAGGUUUAAAGGGUACCUAGACAGUUAAUUAAGCAAGAAAUUGUACUAAUUUUAAACUAGAGUUUAAUGUAGGAAGGGUCAGUACGAUGCGGUGUAGAGAUAGAAUUCUUUGAUACUCAUGGGGACUGGUAAAGGCGAAGGCAACCUUUUAUGUAAAAACUGACGUUAAGGGACGAAGGCUCAAGGAGAAAAAAGAGGAUUAGAUACCCUCGUAUAGUGGGCAGACAAUGAUGAGUGUCAUACGUAAGAUAUUUUUUUAUGUAUAAAUGAAAGUGUAAGCACUCCACCUCAAGAGUAACGUGGCAACAUGGGAACUGAAAUCAUUAGGCCGUUUCUGAAACCCGUAGUGAAGUAUGUUGUUUAAUUUGUAGGUACGCAAAUAACCUUACCACAAUUUGUAUAGCUUGUAACUUUAUACUUGGUUUUUAAUAUUUUUGUUUAAAAACUUGUAUGCUAUAAUAGGAGUUGCAAGCAACAAGCGUUGCACGGCUGUUUUUAGUCAAUGUUGCGAAACUUUGGUUAGGUCCAUUAAAUUGAUGUAAGCCCUUGCUUUAUUUAAUAAAAAGUAGUUCGCCGCCGUACAGGUAGCGAUAUAAGGGAGUAAGACAAGUCAUCAUGACCUGAACAUUGUGGGCUAUAGACGUGCCACAU
rnacentral:rRNA from 1 species